rnacentral:rRNA from 1 species
AUUGAACGCUGGCGGCAGGCUUAACACAUGCAAGUCGAGCGGAGAUGAGGUGCUUGCACCUUAUCUUAGCGGCGGACGGGUGAGUAAUGCUUAGGAAUCUGCCUAUUAGUGGGGGACAACAUUUCGAAAGGGAUGCUAAUACCGCAUACGCCCUACGGGGGAAAGCAGGGGAUCUUCGGACCUUGCGCUAAUAGAUGAGCCUAAGUCGGAUUAGCUAGUUGGUGGGGUAAAGGCCUACCAAGGCGACGAUCUGUAGCGGGUCUGAGAGGAUGAUCCGCCACACUGGGACUGAGACACGGCCCAGACUCCUACGGGAGGCAGCAGUGGGGAAUAUUGGACAAUGGGGGGAACCCUGAUCCAGCCAUGCCGCGUGUGUGAAGAAGGCCUUUUGGUUGUAAAGCACUUUAAGCGAGGAGGAGGCUACCGAGAUUAAUACUCUUGGAUAGUGGACGUUACUCGCAGAAUAAGCACCGGCUAACUCUGUGCCAGCCGCCGCCGUAACAC